GCAGCACUUCAAGACCUAAGUCAAUAUGUAAACUGUGAUAGCUUAAUCAGUUUCACUGUGCCAAAUUUCUUGCUCAAAUUGUGAAUUUUUGCGUUAGCUCGAACCAUAGAUCUUGCAGUCAAAGUAUGCAACUUUUUAAUAUUUACAUUGUAGUUGUCAUUUCCAAAGGUCAUGCAUAAUAAAUUGUGCAUUAUGAAUGGGUGUGCGAGUGAGCAGGGCCACGUGGAGUAUUGCUCCAUCUCAGCUUGCUCUUUUAUUGGUGGAGAAUAAUAACAUCUUUAAGUAACUAUGUACCAUAUUUACUCGAAAAUAGGUAGAGCACGAAUAUAGGUCGACCUCUGUAUAUUGUGCUCUCCGAGAAAUUAAAAAAAAAAAAUAUUUGAAUAUAGGUCGACCUCUUACAAUCGAGUACAACUCUAAAUGUGCGUUACCAUAUCGCCAUCCGCAUUUCAAAAUGGCUGCCUCAUACGUGCUAAGAGCCUAGCUGCUCUAGCUUCCUCCAUGUGCUCAGGCCCCGCACACUCUCAAGUUCAAAAAAUGGCCACAGAGGGCGAAAAAAUCGACUGCGCGGCGCUGCUAAAAAAACAAGCAUAGCACACCAGUUAAAAAGGUUCCCCCAUGAGCGCAAUAUCUCCUGCUAGAGGCGCCGUUGUAAGCGCAGUUUUAACCUACAAACUUUCUUCAGCAAUAAACGAAGCAUUUUUAUGCGAAGCAUAUUACGAGGGCUCAACCCAGCUCCUCGGGCGCGGCGGUGACCAUGAAAUCACGUGACACCGUGACGUCACGACAGAGGAGAAGUGGCUUUGGCUCAACUCUUGCAAGACGGGCUGGGUGGGAAUCGAACCAGGGUCUCCGGAGUGUGGGACGGAGACGCUACCACUGAGCCACGAGUACAACGCUUCAAAGCGGUACAAAAGCGCCUCUAGUGAAUGCGGUGUUGCCUUAGAAACGCGCUGUUUCUAAGGCGUGCGUCUCUUGCUCAGGCGCACAUUUCGUUGCCGCGCCGAACGCUGCUUUGCUCGACGCUCACCGCGUCCAAUGCGGGGCGCGUAGUCGCUGCCCUGUAGCCCAUUGUCUUACACCCCUUGGCGGGUCGACGGGAACGCUAUCGCGUUCCACUCUUGAAGGCGAAGAAGUAAUGCAUGAGUUGUUUCUUCGUCUAGCCGAACCAAAUAUAGCCAAGCAACAGCAGUUCACCAGGCUAAACAGUGGUUCAACAACUAAAAUAAAGGCUAGUAUGCUUCGCAUCCUGGGCUUAACCUUACCUAAGCCACAGCCAUUUUUAUUACAUGACAAAAAGUACAAAAUUAUCAUUUCUAAUUACUAUACUUUGUACUCUUUAUUACUAACUUUGUUGUUUUUUGCCCUUAUAUACAGUCGCCGACCGUUUAUUUGGACCUCACGGGGACUGCGAAAAUGUCCGAAUAAACAGGUGUCCGAAAAAGCAGAUUAAGAAAAAAAAUGAAAUCCUUUAUUUCCACGCACUUAUUCGGGCUCGGCAGUAGGCUUGGAAGAAAUUGUGAAUGCGCCGUUGCACGCUGUUCCGUUUACGCGCUAUCAGAUAAGCCUGAAUCUCGGAGAGGGUCGUACGGUCACUAUUAGCGGCUGAAAGCACAGUCACUGUUUGUACAUGCUCCGCAUGCCACGGCAGCGCAGCACAUGGUGCGUCAUCUUCCGACUUGUCAUCGUCGGGCGGUGCAGCAGAAACCUGACGAAUGAUCAUGCCGUCGUCAAGUUCUGCGCAUGUCAGUACAGCAGUGUCAGCACCUAUGAAACUGUCAAAUGAUACGGUGUCCAGAAUCGCAAUGCAACCACUGCGCAGGUCUCGGCAGAACAUUUCCCGCGUCAGUAGGGAGCACAUCGGAAGGCGACAAGUCUUAGGCCUCCCGGCACCCGCUUGCCGGCAUUCCCCAGCGCAGUCUGCGCCGGCACUGUCAGCGCCAUUAGACCCUUGACGCGAUGUUUACGUAUGCCGCGUUAGAUCACCGAAACCUCGACACAGCACACAAAGCAAACACCACCGUGCCGACACCAGUCGCUCAAACUUUCGAAAAACGUGGCCUGCUCGCAGCGUCUUGCGCGAAGAAACAAAUCAGCUGCUGGAUUGUCUUGACAUGGCUUACUAAGCUGAAACCGGAACUGCUGCAGAGCCACUCUAUCUAACCAGGCAGAAACAAUGAUGAUGAGCGGGGAUUUCCAGUAGCGCCACUUCGUGGGGCAGCAAGGAAGCUCCGUUCAAGAUAAAAAUGGCGUUCAGCAAGUCGAACCAUGCACCGGUCAGAGUAGGUGCAUGGUGCUCUCGACCGAGUUGGCUCAAGGUGUGUCCGAAAAAUCAGACGAGAGGUUGCAAGGUGUCCGAACUUUCGGCAGUUGUUAUACAUUAUGGUCUAUGGGGAGAAUGGCGGUGCCGCGAAGCUGAUCGAAUAAUCGGGCAUGUCCGAAUUUUCGGAGUCCGGAAAAUCGGUCGGCGACUGUAUAUAAAAAUAGCAUUCAGCAUCAUCAACCUUUAAAUUUAAAAUUUUUACCGGUAUGUUCGCAUGCACGGCAGGUACGGAUUCAUUGGUUCAUACAUUGGUUCCUUAUAUUGUGCUAAAAGCAAUUUAUUGCGCUUUGAUACCUCGCAUUAUUUAACUUUGGGUGAAGAGACGUGUUGUGAACGGAGAUGUAAGCCUGAAAGUUAGGUUUCAGUCAUGAGCCAAGUGGAACACGUCUGCAUCGAAAUGGGAGCCGGAUCCUGCUGCAAGUGGGGACGGCAAUACUGACAUGCAAUAAAAAGGACGGCACCAGUGUAAAGCAACACACUCCACGCACUAAAGGAAAGCUAGUGGCAGCCUGCUACAAGGCCGUUGUGUGGACUUUUGCUGCUCCUACAAGAGUCUGCAACAAGCACAUCUUGGUCCUCAUCACAGGAGCCCCCGUCUGCAUCAACAGGAAGGGGCUGGAGUCGAAUUCGCAAGGCUUUACACCACAAACAAAGAAGCCAUUCCAGAAGUAUUUGGAUGAAAUAUCAAGUCUAUGGACGACUGUGUCAAGAGUGAAAAUAGCCUCAGCCAUCAUUCCACUAGCACGGAUAUUGGCCGAGUUAUCCAGGUACCUGAAGAGCAAAAAUUCUGUAUCUUCAAAUGUACCUGCAACCUCUGAACAAGCACGGAUGAUGCUGGCCAAGAGUUCCGUCAGCUUGCCCUUCCUUAAUCAGCUUCCCGGCCUUGUCAAAUUCCAUUUGUGCCAAGUAUAAGUUUUUUUCAAUGAAUGCAAGCUUUUUCAUACCACAUUGUUGUUAGAGAUCAUUCCUCUUCCUUAUCCAAACAUAAAACUCAACCGACUCUUUUCUCAUACCUAAUACCAGUCACUGUCUACUAGCAUAACAUAUCUGUAGCAGUAUUUUCUACUGUAUGUUGCCAUGUGCUAUUCCUCUCCUGAAAUAGCUGAUGCUGCAUCGACGUGUCUUGCAUUAACCUGUGCACCGUGCGCUGUGUAGCAUUUAACUUUUCUUAAUGUUUUUGGCUUUCAUUGCUUGCAAGGUAGAGCAGCUUCUUUCUUGAAUGCAAGCUUUCUCAUUCCGAUAUUUAAUUCCUAGUCUCGUUCAGGAUUGCUAUUCUUGCUUGAUAGCAUGUGUUUUUGCUCAAGCUACGUUAAAGUGACUGAUUGCAGAAUCUGGUUUCACUGCUGUCUAACUUGGUGCUAGUCACCGUGUUACGUUUCUCGUAUGUGGCAGCCUGGUCAGUUGCAUUGGCAAACAGUCUCUCGAGGUAAGCACCUGCUCCUGCAGUCCGUACAGCGACAUAGACUCCAAAUUUACACGCACCAUGAUUGGUGCUCCCCGUUCCGUCCUUUCCUGCUGUAGCCAUGUGCAAAUUUUGCUUGUGGUGUUCCUCGGCCAUGAUUUGGCAUCAACGGAGACUAUCAUACGUGGUUACCUGGUCCGAAGUGUAUGAAGUUGAUAUCCACACGGAUGGAAAGGUCUGCAGAAGUGGCUGCAAAAUGGUGAUGCCCAUAAUAUCGACCAUGUCUGUAUUGAGAGAAUGUGGGGCACCAAGUGUGAAUUGCAUAUUAGCGGCAAGCAAAAGAACAAAAAGUAAUGUGCAGGUUGGAAAGGAGGUAACGCUAAAAUGCUGGGUACUCCAUGCCGCUAUAUUGGCUGUGGCAGCAUAUGCUUGCAUCACCAGAUUACUUCGCAAUGCAAGUUGCUCAUCUUCAACGGCGACUGUUGAUGCGAACAGGUGGGACACUGUCCAAUCUACUUGCAGUGCUGGUUAUCACUCUUUACCAGACUGCCAUGUGCGACGAAGGCAAGCACUGUGCCUGAAGUCGAAUAGCUGCAUGUGCCGUAAGCAAUUCGUGGUGCGUGAAUGCUCACUGUUGUCAUGUGGAUCUUAGCCAAUGUAGCGAAUGUAGCGAAUCUUAGCCAAUGUUGUCAUGUGGAUCUUAGUCAAUGAAGUGUAUUGUCUGAACCUUAUGCGGUGAUUGAAUGCUAACUCUCAUUUGAUCAUGGUUGCAGUGUUAUGUUUCUUGAAUGUGGUAGCCUGGUCAGCUGUAUUAGGCAACAGUCUCUAGAGGUAACCAUCUGCUCCUGCAGUCCACACCGUGACAAUGACUCCCAAUUUACACGCACCGUAAUUGGUACCCCCUGUUCAUCCUUUCCUGCUGCAGCCGUGGGCAAAUUAUGCUUGUGGGCCUUCGUCAGCCGUGAUGUGGUGGGAACGGAGAGCAGCAUACGUGAUUACAUGGUCUGAAGUGUGUGAAGUUCAUAACCACAUGGGUGGAAAGGCCUGCAAAAGUGGCUGCAAAAUGGUGGUGCCCACAAAACUGACCAUGCCCAUACUGAAAAUGUAGGGCACCAAGUGUGAGUUGCACAUUAGCGGCACGUAAAAGAACAAAAGAAACGUGCAGGUUAAAAAGAAGGUAGUGAUAAAAUACCGGGUAGUCCAUGUCGCUGUGUUGGCUCUGGCAACAGAUGCCUGCAUCACCCAAUUGCUUCGCAAUGCAUGCUAUGGCGACUGUCGCUGCAAACAGGUGGGACACUCUGUCCAAUCUGCUUGCGCUGCUAGUUGUUGCUCGUUACCAGACUGCCAUGUGCUACGACGACUGUAUGAGCCGUGUACGAGCUCGUGUCAAUGAUUCCAGCAUCUGUCCAAUCUGCUUGCGCUGCUAGUUGUUGCUCGUUACCAG